GCCGGGCGUGGUGGCGCACGCCUUUAAUCCCAGCACUUGGGAGGCAGAGGCAGGUGGAUUUCUGAGUUCGAGGCCAGCCUGGUCUACAAAGUGAGUUCCAGGACAGCCAGGGCUACACAGAGAAACCCUGUCUCAAAAAACCAAAACCAAAAACAAAAACAAAAACUGAUUCCACACCGCCCCCCAAGACAGGGUUUCUCUGUUGCCCUGGCUGUGCUGAAACUUGCUUUGUAGACCAGGCUGGCCUCAAACUCAGAGAUCCACCUGCCU
rnacentral:SRP_RNA from 1 species